rnacentral:rRNA from 1 species
GACAGGGGGGUGCAAACGUUGCUCGGAAUCAUUGGGCGUAAAGCGCACGUAGGCGGUCUGUUGUGUCGGAUGUGAAAGCCCUUGGCUUAACUGAGGAAGUGCAUCCGAAACUGGCAGGCUAGAGUACUAAAGAGGGUCGCGGAAUUCCCGGUGUAGAGGUGAAAUUCGUAGAUAUCGGGAGGAACACCGGUGGCGAAGGCGGCGACCUGGGUAGAUACUGACGCUGAGGUGCGAAAGCGUGGGGAGCAAACAGG